GACGAACGCUGGCGGCGUGCCUAAUACAUGCAAGUAGAACGCACAGUUUAUACCGUAGCUUGCUACACCAUAGACUGUGAGUUGCGAACGGGUGAGUAACGCGUAGGUAACCUGCCUGGUAGCGGGGGAUAACUAUUGGAAACGAUAGCUAAUACCGCAUAAUAUUGAUUAUUGCAUGAUAAUUGAUUGAAAGAUGCUAUUGCAUCACUACCAGAUGGACCUGCGUUGUAUUAGCUAGUAGGUGAGGUAACGGCUCACCUAGGCGACGGUACAUAGCCGACCUGAGAGGGUGGUCGGCCACACUGGGACUGAGACACGGCCCAGACUCCUACGGGAGGCAGCAGUAGGGAAUCUUCGGCAAUGGACGAAAGUCUUACCGAGCAGCGCCGCGUGAGUGAGGAAGGUUUUCGGAUCGUAAAGCUCUGUUGUAAGAGAAGAACGGGUGUGAGAGUGGAAAGUUCACACUGUGACGGUAUCUUACCAGAAAGGGACGGCUAACUACGUG
rnacentral:rRNA from 1 species